UGACACGUGGAGAAGACGUAUUUCCCUUGAAACCACGCGUCUUUUCAUGAAGCACCACCGUCUAUAAUUCGCCGCUCAUCUCCCAAGCGCUGAUUAGCCGUCGCGUGUCAGCCCUAGAACGCUGGGGUCUUCAUUCCUUCUGCCGAUCUUCAAUCCUGUAUAAGAUAGCAUCGAAAUCUACCGGGUUUAGAUGAAAUCGCUUC